rnacentral:rRNA from 4 species
UCUAGCAUGAAGUCAGAC